rnacentral:rRNA from 1 species
GAUCAUGGCUCAGGACGAACGCUGGCGGCGUGCUUAACACAUGCAAGUCGAACGGAAAGGCCCUGCUUUUGUGGGGUGCUCGAGUGGCGAACGGGUGAGUAACACGUGAGUAACCUGCCCUUGACUUUGGGAUAACUUCAGGAAACUGGGGGCUAAUACCGGAUAGGAGCUCCUGCUGCAUGGUGGGGGUUGGAAAGUUUCGGCGGUUGGGGAUGGACUCGCGGCUUAUCAGCUUGUUGGUGGGGUAGUGGCUUACCAAGG